AUUUUAGAAGUCUUAUGCAGCACUGGCUCUAUUAACGGAUUUGCAAUCCUACAGUUUCUGU
rnacentral:sRNA from 1 species